AGCUGUGACUUGUGAGUUGACAAACUGUGAAAGUUAAUUCAUAUAGAAGAGCGUAUUUUUAUGAAAAUAAAAUAAUACGAGACGGGCUGUUGCCUAAUAAACGGUUACUGUUGACCAGGUUUAAGAGAAACGUUACACUUUGUCAGUUCCAAUCAUAUAUUCACUUUUUAAAAUGCGAAACGAGCCGGUUUCACCACUCUACGCCUAUCUCAGCUGAAGUUUAUCACAGCUUAUGACUAAGAAUGAACGAUGAACAAGGACUUGGAGAGUGCAUUACCACCUGUCACAGCUGUUGGACGUCAUUCCAUCACGUGCGGUCAUCCGCCAUCUGCGCGGUACAAUAAAAUUUCUGAGAAAAUCCGCCAGACAACGCCACUAGAUGUGCAGUGUUCGAUGUUCUGUGGUGGCCAAAAGUGCAAGUACGACAGCGAUACCUACUGGAAGACAGAAGAUAUGGCCCUUAAUGGAAUAUUUUCUCAUUGGUAUGUAG